UCCUUAGUGGCUCAGACGGUAAAGCGUCAGCCUGCAAUGCAGGAGACUUGGGUUCAAUCCCUGGGUCAGGAA
rfam:Ovis aries breed Texel chromosome 2, whole genome shotgun sequence.